AUUUUCAGUAUCUUGAGACCCCUCCGACAUUUCCUCUUCAGACUGGACUCCAAGACAUUUAAAUCGCCACAUUGCAUUAUAAAUGGUUUUGAUCCGAGAAGCUGCAUGAGCAGUUAUCCAUUUAAAAAUGUGCUCUACUUCAAUCUUGCGUCCACUGUAUUCUUUAAGCAUGACUUUCCCUUUUGAAGUACUUGUUUGUGGAACAGACAUAAUGAGUGUGGAUCGGACCCAGCCUCUUCUCCUGCAAUAUCUACAAGAGAGGAAACUAGACUAUACGUAACAUGGACCUGGAAAAGCUUAAAAAUAUGAAGAGGAUUGAACUGGCUGCCAUCUGUGCAUCUUCAUUUAUGAAAACACUCCUCAUAGACUUAAAACAAAUGACAGAGAACAAAUUAGUCAGCUUCUUCUAAAAUACAGUGGUCUCCCCUUACCCUCAGUUUCACUUUCUGCAGUCAACUGCAGUCCGAAAAUACUACAUACAAUUAGAUAUUCGGAGAGAGAGACACCACAUUUACAUAAAUGUUAUUUCAGUAUACUGUUAUAAUUGUUCUAUUUUUAUUAGUUGUUGUUGUUACUGUGCCUAACUUACACAUUAAACUUUAUCACAGGUAUGUAUGUAUAGGAAAAAACAUAGACUAUAUAGGAUUUGGUACUAUCCACGGUUUCAGGCAUCCACUGGGGGUCUUGGAACGCAUCCCCCUCAGAUAAGGGGGGACUACUGUAAACAGAAAAUAACAACAAUUCAAAUUGUUAAAAACAAUUCUUGAAAGUUAUCCUUUACAAUAGAUUAAUAUAUAUGAUCUGAGCUGAAAGAAUGGCAAGCAAUGGAGACAAUAUUUCUCUUCUGUUUCUAGUAGAUAUUUUCAAUUUUAAGCAUAGUUUUAAAAAGUACAACCCUCUUUUAAGGGCUUAAACCAAGGUGGCUGUGCUGAUUGGCUUAGCUGGCUAGUUCACAGUGCCAAGGACAGGGUUUCAAUCUCAUUCUUCUCAGUUGUCCUGCCAGAGAUUGUUCUUUCAGACCAGGCCAGCCAUUUGACAGAUGUAAGCCACUGGCCUCAAGGAACACAAGCCAGACAGUGGUGGUCAAUGCAAACCUUGAGCAUCACUGGAAAAAUUAAGCAGGUGUCCUACUGCAUUAUUUCCAUAC
rnacentral:lncRNA from 10 species